rnacentral:rRNA from 1 species
CCUAAACCGACACAGGUAGUCGAGGAGAAUAUCCUAAGGCGCUCGAGUGAUCCGUUGUAAAGGAACUAGGCAAAUUGACGCUGUAACUUCGGGAUAAGGCGUGCCGCAGUGAUGCGGCCUCAGUAAAAUGGUCCAACCAACUGUUUAACAAAAACACAGGGCCCUGCAAAAUCGAAAGAUGACGUAUAGAGCCUGAUACCUGCCCGGUGCUGGAAGGUUAAGGAAGGAUGUUCGGCGCAAGCCAAAGCUUCUGACUGAAGCCCCAGUAAACGGCGGCCGUAACAAUAACGGUCCUAAGGUAGCGAAAUUCCUUGUCGGGUAAGUUCCGACCUGCACGAAUGGUCUAAUGAGUUGGACACUGUCUCUACCACGAGCUCGGUGAAAUUGUAGUAUCGGUGAAGAUGCCGGUUAAUCGCAACGGGACGGAAAGACCCCGUGAACCUUCACUACAACUUGACAUUGAUUUUGAAUGCCAGAUGUGUAGGAUAGUUGGGAGACUUUGAAGCAGCUUCGCUAGGAGUUGUGGAGUCGUCGUUGAAAUACAAACCUUCUGUUAUUUAGAGUCUAACUCCUGUAAGGGAGGACAUUGUUUGGUGGGUAGUUUGACUGGGGUGGUCGCCUCCUAAAAAGUAACGGAGGCUUGCAAAGGUACCCUCAGUACGGUUGGUAAUCGUACGCAGAGCGCAUUAGUAUAAGGGUGCUUGACUGUGAGGCAAACAAGCCGAGCAGGAGCGAAAGCUGGCUAAAGUGAUCCGGUGGUUCUGAAUGGAAGGGCCAUCGCUCAAAGGAUAAAAGGUACUCCGGGGAUAACAGGCUGAUCUCACCCAAGAGCUCAUAUCGACGGUGAGGUUUGGCACCUCGAUGUCGGUUCGUCACAUCCUGGGGCUGGAGAAGGUCCCAAGGGUUCGGCUGUUCGCCGAUUAAAGUGGCACGUGAACUGGGUUCAGAACGUCGCAAGACAGUUCGGUCCCUAUCUGUUGUGAUCGUUAGUAAAUUGAGAGGACAUGACCUUAGUACGAGAGGACCGGGUCGUACGUACCGCUGGUGUAUCUGUUGUGCCGCCAGGUGCAGUGCAGAGUAGCUAUGUACGGGCAAGAUAAACGCUGAAAGCAUCUAAGCGUGAAACUUACCUCGAGAUGAGUUUACUUUUAAGGGCCGUCGGAGACUACGACGUUGAUAGGCUACAGGUGUAAGGAUAGUAAUAUCGAAGCCGAGUAGUACUAAUUGCCCGUAAGCUUUAAUAA